rfam:Marine metagenome 1096626092415, whole genome shotgun sequence.
GGCAGUACCGGGAGGGCGACCUGGUAACUGGCAGAAAUAGCUCCCUUGGCACGAGCGAUUGCCAGGGGGAGCUUUCUGCGCUCUUCAAAUCUCUGAACAGAGUUAGUGCAUUUGCUACAAGCCCGUGUAUCGCGGCGAGCUUGUUCAUGCGGAUACCGCAUCGCUCGGGGAGAACAGCGUUCUCCUCGCGGUUCCGUCGCCUAA